rnacentral:rRNA from 1 species
GUUUGAUCCUGGCUCAGAACGAACGCUGGCGGCAGGCCUAACACAUGCAAGUCGAGCGCACCUUCGGGNGAGCGGCGGACGGGUUAGUAACGCGNGGGAACAUACCCUUCUCUAAGGAAUAGCCACNGGAAACGGUGAGUAAUACCUUAUACGCCCUUCGGGGGANAGAUUUAUCGGAGAUGGAUUGGCCCGCGUUAGAUUAGAUAGUUGGUGGGGUAAUGGCCUACCAAGUCUACGAUCUAUAGCUGGUUUUAGAGGAUGAUCAGCAACACUGGGACUGAGACACGGCCCAGACUCCUACGGGAGGCAGCAGUGGGGAAUCUUAGACAAUGGGCGCAAGCCUGAUCUAGCGAUGCCGCGUGUGUGAUGAAGGUCUUAGGAUCGUAAAGCACUUUCACCAGGGAUGNUAAUGACAGUACCUGGAAAAGAAACCCCGGCUAACUCCGUGCCAGCAGCCGCGGUAAUAAGG